rnacentral:rRNA from 1 species
AUGAAAUUAAAAUUAUUAAAUAUAAUUUUAUCAAUAAUAAAUAAACUUAAUAAUAAUAAUAAUAUUAUUAUUAAUAAUCUAUUAGAUUCAUUAAUAAAUAAGAAAUUAUUAUUAAAGAAUAUAUUAUUAGAUAUAAAUAAUAAAAAAAUAAAUAAUAUAAAAAGAAUAUUAAAUAAUAAUAAUAUAAAUAUUAAUAAUAAAUUACAACAUUUAAAUAAUAUAAAUAAUUGAAAUCUACAAAUUUAUAAUUAUAAUAAAAAUAUAGAAAUUAUAAAUACUAUAAAUGAUAAAUUAAUUAAUAAAUUAUUAUAUAAAAUAAUAACUUUAAAAUUAAAUAAUAUAAACCCCGCGGGACCAAUCCGGUGAACAACCGGAUUGGCGCCCGCGGGGAAUAUUAAUAAAAUUAUUAUAAGUAAACUUAUUAAUCAACAUAGUUUAAAUAAAUUAAAUAUUAAAUUUUAUUAUUAUAAUAAUGAUAUUAAUAAUAAUAAUAAUAAUAAUAAUAAUAAUAAUUAUUAUAUAAAUAUAAUAAAUAAAUUAAUAAAUAUUAUAAAUAAUAAUAUAAAUAAUAAUUUAUGUAAUAUUUUAAGUUAUUAUUAUAAUAAAAAAGUAACUAUUGAACCUAUUAAAUUAUCAUAUAUUUAUUUAAAUAGUGAUAUUUUUAGUAAAUAUAUUAGUUUAAAUGAUAUAGAUAAAUAUAAUAAUGGUAUCUUAACUAAUUAUCAACGUAUAUUAAAUAAUAUUAUGCCUAAAUUAAAUGAUCAUAAUAUUUCUAUAAAUUAUAUUAAUAAUAUUAAUAAUAUUAAUAAUAAUAAAUAUAAUAAUAUAAUUAAUUUAUUAAAUAAUAAUAAUAAUAAUAAUAAUAAUAUUAAUAAUAAUAAUAAUUAUAAUAAUUAUAAUAAUAAUUAUAUUGGUAAUAUUAAUAAUAUUUAUAAUAAUAUAACUAUUGAUAAUAUUCCUAUAGAUAUUUUAAUAUAUAAAUAUUUAGUUGGUUGAUCUAUUAAAUUUAAAGGUAGAUUAAGUAAUAAUAAUGGUAGAACUAGUACACUUAAUUUAUUAAAUGGUACUUUUAAUAAUAAAAAAUAUUUAUGAAGUAAUAUUAAUAAUAAUUAUAAAUUAAAUUAUAUCCCUUCUAAUCAUAAUUUAUAUAAUAAUUCUAAUAUUAAUAAAAAUGGUAAAUAUAAUAUUAAAGUUAAAUUAAACUUUAUUUAA